rnacentral:rRNA from 1 species
CGGACCUUGACAUACUAAGAACUUUCCAGAGAUGGAUUGGUGCCUUCGGGAACUUAGAUACAGGUGCUGCAUGGCUGUCGUCAGCUCGUGUCGUGAGAUGUUGGGUUAAGUCCCGNAACGAGCGCAACCCUUUUCCUUAUUUGCCAGCGGGUCAUGCCGGGAACUUUAAGGAUACUGCCAGUGACAAACUGGAGGAAGGCGGGGACGACGUCAAGUCAUCAUGGCCCUUACGGCCAGGGCUACACACGUGCUACAAUGGUCGGUACAAAGGGUUGCUACCUCGCGAGAGGAUGCUAAUCUCAAAAAGCCGAUCGUAGUCCGGAUCGCAGUCUGCAACUCGACUGCGUGAAGUCGGAAUCGCUAGUAAUCGCGGAUCAGAAUGCCGCGGUGAAUACGUUCCCGGGCCUUGUACACACCGCCCGUCACACCAUGGGAGUUUGUUGCACCAGAAGUAGGUAGUCUAACCGCAAGGAGGACGCUUACCACGGUGUGGCCGAUGACUGGGGUGAAGUCGUAACAAGGUAAGCGUAGAUGA